UAAUACUAGAUCGGAGGAGAAUGUUAUUACAUCAGUAAGGGGAAAACUAACCUAAUGUUUCUGUCGGCUCCUUUUAGUGGUUCACGAUUUGCAUGCAAAUUAAAAUCAACUGUUACCAACAAACAUUUUGCAUGAUAAAACAAACUGAACAAGUUGGAUCAGGAAAGACUAUCACAAUGCCUAGAAGAAAAAGGAGCAAAUGGAUUAAAAAUUUACAACAGCAUUGGCGUAAAUGGCGUGAUAGCAUUGCAGAUAAGCCCCUUCCUGAUUCAACAAAUGAACCCCUUCCUGAUUCAACAAAUGAACCCCUUCCUGGAUCACAAGAUCAACCUCUUCCUGGAUCACAAGAUGAACGCUUUCCUGGAUCACGAGAUGAACCCCUUCUGUGAUCAAUAGAUGAACCCUUUCCUGGAUCACAAGAUGAACCCCUUCCGGGAUCAACCCCGUCCUGCUUCAAGAGAUCAACUGGAAUAGUGCAUCCUACUGACAAAGGUUGUAGAAGAAUCGAAGAGAGAGAAAUGAAAUGAAAUGGGGUUUAACGUCCUACUGUUCUGCUCCUAAACUGGGCUAAUGAAGACGGGCAUACGCCAUACAGUGUACUAUGAGGGGAAAUUUUGCCCUACAGCCUACUCUUGAAACUAAUAAUGUUAAAACAUUCCAUCAUUGUGUUUUUUGUGAUGAGAUUUUUAAAGAGUACAGUGAUCUAGAUCUUCACUAUGAACUACACGUGAACAAGAAGAUCCAUGUUGAAGGAGAAAAAAUUGACAGUAUCGUAAAACACCGCAAAAGACAUGUUAAAACGGGGCAAAUUGCUAAUGUUGUAAAACUCCGCAAAAGACAUGUUAAAACGGGGCAAAUUGCUAAUGUUGUAAAACACCGCAAAAGACAUGUUAAAAAGGGGCAAAUUGCUAAUGCUGUAAAACUCUGCAAAAGACAUGUUAAAAAAGACGAUAUUGAUAAUGCUGUAAAACUCUGCAAAAGACAUGUUAAAAAAGACGAUAUUGAUAAUGCGGUAAAACUCUGCAAAAGACAUGUUCAAGAAGAAAAAAUUGAUGUGGAAAAACUUCACAAGAAACAUGUUAAAGAAGAGGAAAUUGAUAACUUGAAUUAUUUUCAGUGCAACUUGUGUGAAAGAAAAUUUGAUUUAUACACUGAUUUAGAAGAACAUUGUAAAAUACAUAUGGAAUAUGAAGAAUCUCCUAUCAUAGGACAAAAUGUUAAAUAAAGCGAAUCUAUUGCAAGUACUUUAUAUCAAUGUACAUUAUGUCAAAUUUGCUUUGAGCAAUAUUUUGACCUGGAAGAACAUUGUAAACUUCAUGGAUAUCAAUGUACAGGCAGAGUUAGGUCUUCCAUUAGAUUCAAAAGAAAAUACAUCCAAAACAGUUUUCUGUGAACACUGUGGGGUUCUUCAGAAGCAGAUAAGAGAAUUAGAAGCGAAGCUGGAUAAAGCCAACAAUAAAUUGGAAGAUAGUCGAUAUGUUGAUAUACCUGUCAAUACCUACACAGACACCGUAUUGCCCUGAGCCGGUAGAUUUAAUAAAAGAACAUCAGAGAAAUAUAAAAUGAUUGAACUCUGUCAUGGGUAUGGUGUGUUCAUAUAUCCAUCAGAUCUCGUCCACGUCAAGAAAUUAUUCGAGAAAACAAAGAGUGGACAAUCCGUGACUCGUCACCUUCUGAGCGUCAUGUUUACAAAAGAAAAGCUAUGUUUCGGUUCAGUAUCAAAAGAUCCUAAACCUGGUCUGGCGUCAUUGGAUGCAACCGUAGUUCAAGCCAUAAGAGAUUACUGUGUAGCAAUGUCAAAGGACAAGAACGUGGCCAUUAAUCAAGCUCUUCACAACAAAGUAACCACGUACAGAUAUAAGGCGAGGUGUAGGGCAACAAGUCCUGAAUACUGAUCAUUGACAGUGCUUAUCUAGAUGAAAUUAUGGAUGACGAAACCCCCGUGCUUAUUGAAGGAGUCAAGUCGCUAACUAACUCAAUAUCAUCCAGUCUUCGACAAUGCAAACAGAAACGAUUGAUGUUUCAGUCAAAAUGAAAAUAUUAACAUUGGCACUUGAAUCGCGUGUAGAAUGCUUCGGGUUCCAUUUGCAUUAAGGGACUCGAUGAAGGAGACUAAAUAUAUCCCACGUAGAAGAUUAUCACCUUUUAAAUUCAGACCCUUCGCGUAUUUUGCCAAACAUAACUGAUUAUAAAUUACAGUAUAAUAGAAACGAUUGAAUGUAAAUCAGGUUAUAUAUAUUCAUAAUACAUUAUUAUGUGUUGCGAUCUAUUUGUGUCCAUUACUGGGUGCCACAGAAUAGAGAUUUAGCUCUUUCUGGGUUGAUUGCUUAUUAUAUUCAAAUACUAGAUUGGUGGGGAAAACCCGUUCUUAUUUAAUCAAGAUGCUGAGUUGGUGGAGAGAUUUAAGGCCAAGAGUAGCGGAAAGAUAUCAGUAGAAUAUACCACAAGUUCCAAAUACCGAUUAUUGAUAGUGCUUUUAUUGCUGGGUUUGUGGGGGAAACACCGGAUUGUUUAGUUAAAGUGCUGGAUGGUGGGGGAUACCCCGUGAUUAUUUAAUAAAUAUACUGGGUUGGCGGGGAACCCCGGGCUUGUUUAGUUAAAAUAUUGGGUUGGUGGGGAAAUCCCGGGCCUGUUUAGUUAAAAUACUGGGUUGUUGAGGAAAAUAAAUUGAUCUUCAAAUUGAAUCCGACCUCUGUUUUAUUGUCUCUGAAACAUUUCCAUCGCGGCGCCCUAACCUAACCAGGCGGUGUGGUGUGUUUCAUUGACUUGAAGACCAUGAUAAAAGUGACCGUAAAUAUAAAAGUAAAUAUAAAAGUAAACAUAAUCAAUCGCUGUUUUAAUGAAAUGCAAAUAUGCUUGUUUUUGUUCAGUUAAUAUCGAUGUGAUUCAUGAUGUCAUAAAUCAACCUCUUCUAUGUACCAGUUUGCAUACAUGAAAUUAAAGGGAGUAAAAUGAGAUUUAACCUGUUA